UUAGUUUUUCUGGUUUGGGCUGGAUUUCACCACAGAAAGUCCAAGACAGCACCGAAGAAAGAUUUGCCACCACAAUUUGCAGAGAUAGAGCUUCCAAUAGUUCCAUACAAUGAUAUACUGAAAGGAACAGAUGAAUUUUCUGAAGCAAAUGUGCUUGGAAAGGGAAGAUAUGGUACAGUAUAUAAGGGCACCCUAGAAAAUCAAGCCAUUGUUGUAGCUGUUAAGGUAUUCAAUCUCCAGCUAUCAGGAUCAUAUAAAAGUUUCCAGGCGGAAUGUGAGGCACUAAGGAGAGUAAAGCACCGAUGCCUUGUAAAAAUCAUCACAUGUUGUUCAAGCAUCGACCACCAAGGCCAGGACUUUAGAGCACUAGUCUUUGAGUUGAUGCCUAAUGGAAGCUUAGAUAGAUGGAUCCACUCAAAUUUAGAAGGCCAAAAUGGACAAGGAGCACUCAGCUUGUCACAUAGGUUGGAUAUCGCUGUGGACAUUAUGGAUGCUUUGGACUAUCUUCAUAACGGUUGCCAGCCAUUGAUCAUCCAUUGCGAUCUCAAGCCAAGUAACAUUCUUCUCAAUCAGGACAUGAGGGCUCGUGUUGGGGAUUUUGGAAUUGCUAGAGUUCUAGAUGAAGCAACAAGCAAACAUCCUGUGAAUUCUGGGAGCACAUUAGGAAUAAGAGGUUCCAUCGGUUAUAUUGCUCCAGGUAACUCUAAUUUGUUUGUUCUGUUCCCCAUGUGCUUCACAUGAUAUCAUCUAAAUUAAGUAUCCCUAUGCCAAUCUAAUAUUGUACAUACCUACAUGUGUUCAUAUUUUAAUUCAAUGCAGAAUAUGGAGAAGGUCUUGCAGUAUCGACUUGUGGUGACAUGUUUAGUCUUGGUAUCACCUUGCUAGAGAUGUUCACAGCAAAGAGGCCAACAGAUGAUAUGUUCAGAGAUGGUUUAAGCCUACAUGGUUAUGCUGAGGCGGCUCUUCCUGACAAAGUUAUGGAGAUAGCAGAUUCCAACCUAUGGAUGCUUGAUGAAGCAAGCAAUAGCAAUGAUACAAGGCACAUAACAAGAACCAGGAAAUGUUUGUCCGCCAUCAUUCAGCUUGAUGUCCUGUGCUCAAAGCAAUUGCCCUCAGAGCGUUUGUCAAUAAGCGAUGCUACUGCAGAGAUGCAUGCUAUCAGAGAUAAGUAUGUUAGUGCUCAGUGAUGUCAGAGUGCACCAGUAACCACUACCUUUAUAUAUUGGCUACCAUGUGUCUCUAAAUUUAUUUUUAAAGUUCAUAUAUAAUGUAUUUGCUUCUGUUUUUGCUUGUGAGUUGUAGUCUGUAGACCAUAUAUCAGUUGGUACGGUGUUGUGUUGCCCAUAUCAUAGGCAGCAUCAUUCAUGAAUCAUGAUAGAAAUGUUGAUUAUCCUGGGAAAAUUGCACAUCUCCGACUAGUUCACACCUCAAAGUUGAACCUCGCCAUUAUAAAAACAAGAAAGUGCACAGUAUGCAGUAAUUUGCAAAGUUGAAAAAGAAUAUCAGCAUGUAGAAGGGGGCGAAUCAUGUAAAUCUGAGACAAAAUUCUCCCAAUCCCCGAACCCUAGAUCAUGGCUUUUCUCCAGAAUCGAGACCCUAACUUCACUAAGGAUUAUGGCUUGGGGAUGAUUUACCUCGGUUGAUGUCGCCGCUGGGUGUCCGUUCGUGCGGCCUUGCCGGACGGGCCAUCUGGCGAGCACAGGCGAGCUCUCACGCACGAGCUGCCAGCCUGCCACAGUGCCGCCGCCGCCACGCACCGAGGCGCCGAUGCCGCGCGCGCAUCAGGGCGCAUCUGCUGACGCUGCGCACGCGCAUCAGGGCGACGCCGCAGCUGCCACCACCGCGGAGCCGCAUCGCGCCGUGCUGCACCAGGCCAUCACGCCGCUUCCGCUGCGUGCGCCACCCUGAAGACCUCCCGAGCGCAGCCUUCACCGGCACCGGAGAGGAGCCGCUCGGCAGAGCCGCGCGCGGCUUCGGCCGCACGCGCGCUCCGGCGAGUGGGCCCACGCCGGCACCGUCGCCUCCACCCUGCACCCGUGCUCUAGCUGAUUCCCAGCAGCCGUCGGAAAGGGCUCAGGAGAGAAUGUGCUAGGAUUUCUUCCACAAGCGUCGGAUGGUCAUGUACGGUACGGUGGAUAUCAUGCGGGGCCAUAAGUGGGCUGGCG
rnacentral:lncRNA from 1 species